CUCAGUAACAUGUCGACCUCAGUCCAUCCAGGGAGUGGCAGCUGCUUUUCACCUUAAAAUCCUGAGUCCCCUCUAGGUUUAACUCUCUCCAUCAUCCCACACCGAGCAAGAAGGAGAUGUUUCCCCCUACUCUUUUUUUCCCCAACCCCACUUUUUAAUACCAUAAUUUUUGGCCUCUUUGCUCUAACCAUCAUCCCACCACUGGCCCUUGCUGGUUUGCUCAGCCAAAGGGCCACUCCACGUGUUUCUCACCAGCCUCUGAUUCUUCACCAAUUUAUGGCACCUCUGCAGUGAGUCUGCGAGGACACCACGAGCAGGCAGGGGGGUUUACUCCGAGACAGGGAGGAUGUUGUGGAUGGAUCCAGCACAGAAAAUCAAUUUUCCCUCUUUUCCACCCCUCUCCUCCUUAGUUAUAACUGGAUUUGGGCUGUUUUGCUGCAGGUGCCUUUUGAGGUCAGAAAUGUCAAGGGAGCAUGAUCUGAAUGGUUGCAUUUUCCCAGACUGAUCCUGGGAGGUCUGGGGGGGAAGAAGGGGUUUUAAACAGAUGCUGACAAGUGACUCCUGGUGGUUCUGUCAAAGUUACCCUUGCAGGUGAUUGGCACCUCCUCUGACAAAGCACUGAGGGAGGAUUUAAAAAUUCCCUCAGGUCCUCACAUCGGACAAAUGACUUGCAGAGAGAGAGAACGUGGCAGCACAGAACUCUUCUCUGGCCCUUCCCUCCCUGGCUCCCAGCCCGCAAAGGGAGUGUCAGAAAUCAAAACCUACCAGCUUGUCAUCCUCCUGAGAGACUCUCUGCAG